rnacentral:rRNA from 1 species
AGUGGACGCUGGCGGUAGGCCUAACACAUGCAAGUCGAACGGCAGCACAGUAAGAGCUUGCUCUUACGGGUGGCGAGUGGCGGACGGGUGAGGAAUACAUCGGAAUCUACUUUUUCGUGGGGGAUAACGUAGGGAAACUUACGCUAAUACCGCAUACGACCUACGGGUGAAAGCAGGGGAUCUUCGGACCUUGCGCGAUUGAAUGAGCCGAUGUCGGAUUAGCUAGUUGGCGUGGUAAAGGCCCACCAAGGCGACGAUCCGUAGCUGGUCUGAGAGGAUGAUCAGCCACACUGGAACUGAGACACGGUCCAGACUCCUACGGGAGGCAGCAGUGGGGAAUAUUGGACAAUGGGCGCAAGCCUGAUCCAGCCAUACCGCGUGGGUGAAGAAGGCCUUCGGGUUGUAAAGCCCUUUUGUUGGGAAAGAAAAGCAGCAGGUUAAUACCCCGCUGUUCUGACGGUACCCAAAGAGUAAGCACCGGCUAACUUCGUG